rnacentral:rRNA from 1 species
GAUGUUGGGUUAAGUCCCGCAACGAGCGCAAUCCCUAUUCUUAGUUGCCAUCAGGUUAUGCUGGGGACUCUAAGAAGACUGCCUGCGCAAGCAGAGAGGAAGGAGGGGACGAUGUCAAGUCAUCAUGGCCCUUACGCCCUGGGCUACACACGUGCUACAAUGGCGGUGACAGUGGGCAGCUACUUCGCGAGAAGAUGCUAAUCUCUAAAAACCGUCUCAGUUCGGAUUGUUCUCUGCAACUCGAGAGCAUGAAGGCGGAAUCGCUAGUAAUCGCGGAUCAGCAUGCCGCGGUGAAUACGUUCCCAGGCCUUGUACACACCGCCCGUCACACCAUGGGAGUUGGAUCAACCCGAAGCUGGUGCGCUAACUCGCAAGAGAGGCAGCCAACCACGGUGGGUUCAGCGACUGGGGUGAAGUCGUAACAAGGUAGCCGUAGGAGAACCUGCGGCUGGAUCACCUCCUU